rnacentral:rRNA from 1 species
GACGAACGCUGGCGGCGUGCUUAACACAUGCAAGUCGAACGAUGAUGCCCAGCUUGCUGGGUGGAUUAGUGGCGAACGGGUGAGUAACACGUGAGUAACCUGCCCCUGACUCUGGGAUAAGCGUUGGAAACGACGUCUAAUACUGGAUAUGACUGCCGGCCGCAUGGUCUGGUGGUGGAAAGAUUUUUUGGUUGGGGAUGGACUCGCGGCCUAUCAGCUUGUUGGUGAGGUAAUGGCUCACCAAGGCGACGCCGGGUAGCCGGCCUGCGAGGGUGCCCGGCCACACUGGGACUGAGACACGGCACAGACUCCUACGGGAGGCAGCAGUGGGGAAUAUUGCACAAUGGGCGAAAGCCUGAUGCAGCAACGCCGCGUGAGGGAUGACGGCCUUCGGGUUGUAAACCUCUUUUAGUAGGGAAGAAGCGAAAGUGACGGUACCUGCAGAAAAAGCACCGGCUAACUACGUGCCAGCCGCCGCGGUAACAC